CUGUUAAAAUUCUGAAUAUUUUUUUCUUUUUUUACCUGCUUCCAUCCUGAAUCUGCAGAUUUAAAAUUUUUCUACAUUUUUUUCUUUCAGAGAUGAAGAAAAGGGGAAGAAAAUGUGGAGUAAAUAUUUGGAGCGAGAGGACAGUAAGAUAGUCGAUCUGUUUGUGGGGCAGCUGAAGAGCUCCCUGACCUGCAGCCACUGUGGUUUCUGCUCCACUGUGUUCGAUCCCUUCUGGGAUCUGUCUCUGCCUAUUGCCAAGGGCUACGGCGAGGUCAGUCUGAUGGACUGCAUGCGGCUCUUCACCAAAGAGGACGUCCUGGAUGGAGAUGAGAAGCCGGUAG